UACGGAGGGAGCUAGCGUUGUUCGGAAUUACUGGGCGUAAAGCGCACGUAGGCGGCUUUUUAAGUCAGGGGUGAAAUCCCGGGGCUCAACCCCGGGACUGCCCUUGAAACUGGAAGGCUAGAAUCUUGGAGAGGCGAGUGGAAUUCCGAGUGUAGAGGUGAAAUUCGUAGAUAUUCGGAAGAACACCAGUGGCGAAGGCGACUCGCUGGACAAGUAUUGACGCUGAGGUGCGAAAGCGUGGGGAGCAAACAGG
rnacentral:rRNA from 1 species